UACGUAGGGGGCAAGCGUUGUCCGGAUUUAUUGGGCGUAAAGAGCGUGUAGGCGGCCAGGUAGGUGGGUUGUGAAAACUGGAGGCUCAACCUUCAGACGUCGACCCAAACCCCCUGGCUAGAGUCCGGAAGAGGAGAGUGGAAUUCCUGGUGUAGCGGUGAAAUGCGCAGAUAUCAGGAAGAACACCCGUGGCGAAGGCGGCUCUCUGGGACGGUACUGACACUGAGACGCGAAAGCGUGGGGAGUGAACAGG
rnacentral:rRNA from 1 species